AACGAACGUUGGCGGCGCGCCUAACACAUGCAAGUCGCACGAGAAAGGGAGCAAUCCCCGGUACAGUGGCGCACGGGUGAGUAACACGUGGAUAAUCUUCCCUUGGGCGGGGGAUAACCUUCCGAAAGGAGGGCUAAUACCGUAUAAGCCCACAGCGAGUUCGCUCGCAGGGGUCAAAGCUGGCCUCUUCAUGAAAGCUAGCACCUAAGGAUGAGUGCGCGUCCCAUCAGCUAGUUGGUAGUGUAAAAGACUACCAAGGCGAAGGCGGGUAGCUGGUCUGAGAGGAUGAUCAGCCACACUGGAACUGAGACGCGGUCCAGACUCCUACGGGAGGCAGCAGUGGGGAAUCUUGCGCAAUGGGCGAAAGCCUGACGCAGCGACGCCGCGUGGGUGAUGAAGGCCCUCGGGUUGUAAAGCCCUGUGGGGAGGGACGAAUAAGUCGUGGCUAAUAUCCACGAUGAUGACGGUACCUCCUUAGCAAGCACCGGCUAACUCUGUGCCAGCAGCCGCCGUAA
rnacentral:rRNA from 1 species